GACGAACGCUGGCGGCGUGCUUAACACAUGCAAGUCGAACGGAAAGGCCCUGCUUUUGUGGGGUGCUCGAGUGGCGAACGGGUGAGUAACACGUGAGAAACCUGCCCUUGACUUUGGGAUAACUUCAGGAAACUGGGGCUAAUACCGGAUAGGAGCUCCUGCUGCAUGGUGGGGGUUGGAAAGUUUCGGCGGUUGGGGAUGGACUCGCGGCUUAUCAGCUUGUUGGUGGGGUAGUGGCUUACCAAGGCUUUGACGGGUAGCCGGCCUGAGAGGGUGACCGGCCACAUUGGGACUGAGAUACGGCCCAGACUCCUACGGGAGGCAGCAGUGGGGAAUAUUGCACAAUGGGCGGGAGCCUGAUGCAGCAACGCCGCGUGCGGGAUGACGGCCUUCGGGUUGUAAACCGCUUUCGCCUGUGACGAAGCGUGAGUGACGGUAAUGGGUAAAGAAGCACCGGCUAACUACGUG
rnacentral:rRNA from 1 species